rnacentral:ncRNA from 1 species
CAGUGUCGCAUAGUAAUUCAACUAUACGAAAACCGUUGAUUCGCACAAUUUCAUCGGCUUGGUUGAAUUAGUGGCGCGGCUAUGCUGGAUUAUGACUACGCCUCGUCAGAAUCCGGGUAGACCGACGUCGCUGGCCCGAGCCGACGCAGUAGCCGCUGGCCCCCUAGGGCACGUUCGUUGGCUAAGCCGUCGUGGCGGAAGCUCACGGUCGCUUGAAUUACAAUUCCGAUCGAGCGGCGAGCUCGAAUCCUUUGCAGUCGACUUAAAUACGCGACGGGUAUUUAAGGGUAGAGUGGCCUUGCUGCCACGAUCCUUGAGAUUCAGCCUUUGUCGCUCCGAUUC